rnacentral:rRNA from 1 species
GUCCAGACUCCUACGGGAGGCAGCAGUGAGGAAUAUUGGUCAAUGGGCGGGAGGCUGAACCAGCCAAGUCGCGUGAGGGAAUAAGGCCCUAUGGGUCGUAAACCUCUUUUGUCAGGGAGCAAAGGCGUCCACGAGUGGACGAAAGGAGAGUACCUGAAGAAAAAGCACCGGCUAACUACGUGCCAGCAGCCGCGGUAAUACGUAGGGUGCGAGCGUUAAUCGGAAUUACUGGGCGUAAAGGGUGUGCAGGCGGCUGAGUAAGACAGAUGUGAAAUCCCCGGGCUUAACCUGGGAACCGCAUAUGUGACUGCUUGGCUAGAGUGCGUCAGAGGGAGGUGGAAUUCCACGUGUAGCAGUGAAAUGCGUAGAUAUGUGGAAGAACACCGAUGGCGAAGGCAGCCUCCUGGGACGCAACUGACGCUCAUACACGAAAGCGUGGGGAGCAAACAGGAUUAGAUACCCUGGUAGC